UACGAAGGGAGCUAGCGUUGUUCGGAAUUACUGGGCGUAAAGCGCGCGUAGGUGGCGAUGCAAGUCAGGGGUGAAAUCCCAGAGCUUAACUCUGGAAUUGCCUUUGAAACUGCAUUGCUUGGGUAUCGGAGGGGAUGGUGGAAUUUCUAAUGUAGCGGUGAAAUGCGUAGAUAUUAGAAGGAACACCGGUGGCGAAGGCGACCAUCUGGACGAUAACUGACACUGAGGCGCGGAAGCGUGGGGAGCAAACAGG
rnacentral:rRNA from 1 species